rnacentral:rRNA from 1 species
AAAUUGAAGAGUUUGAUCAUGGCUCAGAUUGAACGCUGGCGGCAGGCCUAACACAUGCAAGUCGAACGGUAGCACAGAGAGCUUGCUCUCGGGUGACGAGUGGCGGACGGGUGAGUAAUGUCUGGGAAACUGCCUGAUGGAGGGGGAUAACUACUGGAAACGGUGGCUAAUACCGCAUAACGUCGCAAGACCAAAGAGGGGGACCUUCGGGCCUCUUGCCAUCAGAUGUGCCCAGAUGGGAUUAGCUAGUUGGUGAGGUAACGGCUCACCAAGGCGACGAUCCCUA